rnacentral:lncRNA from 1 species
CAUCAAGAAGACAUGUCCUAGAAAAUGAGAGAAAUAUCUAUCGGCAUCUUCCAAUGUAACGACCCAACCCACUAACAACAAUAACUUGUUGGGCCUAAACCAUCAACCCAAAAUGCUUAAGCCCAAUUAUUAUUACUAGUGUCUAAGUCUCUUAUAUACCCAAUCACAUCCCCAUUUCUAUCCGAUGUGGGAUUAUCGGUGUAAGAUAUCGAAUCCUCGUAGUAAUAAUCCACUUUUGGUCAAAGUGACCAAAGUGUGGCGAGACG